UGGGGAAUAUUGCACAAUGGGCGCAAGCCUGAUGCAGCCAUGCCGCGUGUAUGAAGAAGGCCUUCGGGUUGUAAAGUACUUUCAGCGGGGAGGAAGGGAGUAAAGUUAAUACCUUUGCUCAUUGACGUUACCCGCAGAAGAAGCACCGGCUAACUCCGUGCCAGCAGCCGCGGUAAUACGGAGGGUGCAAGCGUUAAUCGGAAUUACUGGGCGUAAAGCGCACGCAGGCGGUCUGUCAAGUCGGAUGUGAAAUCCCCGGGCUCAACCUGGGAACUGCAUUCGAAACUGGCAGGCUAGAGUCUUGUAGAGGGGGGUAGAAUUCCAGGUGUAGCGGUGAAAUGCGUUGAGAUCUGGAGGAAUACCGGUGGCGAAGGCGGCCCCCUGGACAAAGACUGACGCUCAGGUGCGAAAGCGUGGGGAGCAAACAGG
rnacentral:rRNA from 1 species